CGUCUUUGGAAGAUAAUUAAAGUAGCUUCUAAAAAAUAAGAAAGUUACACGUGUUAAAACAGAUUAUAUAACAGCCAUGUCUAGUGGAACAUGAAAAAUUUGUCAUGUGUUAGGAUUCGUAAAUGCGCGUGCAAAAUAAAUUUUGACUUGUGGAAGUUAGUGUACUAACAUGUAAAAUGUUAAUUAAAACAUUUUUUAUGCGUUAUUUUACGGUGAAUGUUGCUUUUGGAGCAGAUGAAAUGAUGAAGACAGCAUGAUUUUGGGAAUUGACUCGUACUUAAUACUCUAAGCUCCGAAUUUCUUCUUUUCAGCUUAUUUAAGACCCCUCGCAGAGCAAUGACCCCUGUGAAUUUAUCGUCUAUGUUCAGCUUAGUUUUAAAUUCUUCACCCUCUGCUUUACAAGCAGCAUGUGUGAGGUGUGCCAGAAAAGGACUUCUUUCUGACCCUCCUAAUUAGAGGACUGGAAGGUCAGCACUGGGAGCUGUAGAGAGCUUCCGCAUUGCACAGAAGGGGAAACUGAGACACACAAAACGCCAUCCCUGGGCCUGGAAUUGGCAGGGACCUUUCUGCUCCAUUCCAUUCUGACAGCGUUUGUUGUGUUUCUCUGCAACUCUCACAGUUCCAAAGAUUUAAAAAAAAUUAAACCGUUAUCUCCACUGCAAUAAAUAACACCUUUACUUUAAAGAUAUUUUGAAUGUGUAUGUGUUUAUUUUAUGGUAUACCAUCUCAAACUCCCCAUCCUUUUUUUUUUUAGAUAGCAGUUUGGUAUGAAGUAAUAUAUGUCCACAAAUAAAAUACAGCUAAAACAAAAUUCAUAGUCUGUCGAAAACAAUCAACAGAAGGUUCUGUGGUACUACCUCCCAAAUAAGCUGAAAACUUCUUCCUUUUAAAAUCCUGUGAACGCUGGUGGGGACGACUGGGACUGAAGGACUAGAAUGUACUGUGAAGUCCCCUCUGCAUUUGUGAUAAAUACCGUCCAAGUUUUCAGAUGUCUUCGUAAGGAAAUGUCAAGGAUGUGCUUCUUAUUUACAGCAGAGGCACCCUUUCACAAAUCAAAGAAAGCACAGACUGUGUGUAUUUUGCAGUCAUCAAGCCAUCCCUUCGCUUAUGCCUGCUUUCACUCGGAUAGAUGCCCAAGGACGACCACAAUGCUAAUAGCUGCUCUCGGGGAGCUCCCAGCCUGGCUGUAAAACUCCCGAGAAGAGCACAGACAUAAGGCCCUUUAAAAGUUAUACCAGCCAAGUGGAGUGAGAGAGAAGAUCCAGACAGCAAGACAGAUAUGAAGCUCAAAAACCACAAGAGGAAAUAAUGGGCAGAUGGUAUAAAAGGAUAUGAUUCAGAUUGGGGCAGUGGGUAAAUUCAGGACAUUGUCCGCGAAUGUGGUCUCAGCUAUAUCCUUUUCCACUCAUUCUAGUCCUUUUAUCUUAAAUCCAGGAUCCCAUUCUCCCAUCCAGCACUUAGAUGUGAUUUUAAAAAGCCCUGCUCGAGUCAGACACAACUCCUAGAUUGCACUUGCCACUUGCUGCUCAGCAGGGUGUCCUUGUGCAGGGCACAGACUGCUCAACUGUCCCUGUCAGCCACGUUUGCCUAUUGCUUCUUUAGUAACAUCAGCAGAAGGCAAUAGCUCUCUUCUCUUGCAGCAUCAGGAGCUCACCACCCCAAAAGCACAAGGCCUCGACAGUCACUCCCCAAAGCAACUCUGCCAUGUGACCACAUAGACAUGCUGUGUGUGUCACUUGGAGGCCAAGAGAUGCGCCUUAUAGACCACUACCUAUAUAACACAUACUUAGUUUUGUUUCUACAGAGGGAUGGGCACUUGUUUCUAAAUAGCACAAGAGAGUAACUUUUUUAUUGUUUACAAUAAACUGGUCACUUCCCCUGUUUCA
rnacentral:lncRNA from 1 species